rnacentral:miRNA from 1 species
UGGUGAGCCUUCCUGGCUAAG